CAGUUACUAAUUUUUAGCUUUGAUUACUUUCUGUGGUUUUUUAAAAAUUAAUUGAUCGAUCCAUGAUCUUCUAUAACUGUUUCAUCUUAAACAAAAAAAGUAAGUAUUCUUCUGCUGUCAAGAUUCUCUCAUAGUCUCAUUCAUCCGUUCCUCUUUCUCUCAAUUUUAAAACAUUUUAUCAGUUUACGAUUUUGUUGUUCUAGACUAUUUGAUUUAUCAGAAAAGUCAAAAGAUGAUGAUUGUAUUUCUUCUUAUGCAGGAUUUGAAAGCAAACUAGCCAUACUAACCUGUUGAAAGUUUCUGGAGUCUUCUGCUAAUCUUAUGGAGUAUAAAUUUCUGGAAAAUGCGGCUAAAGGAUGGGAAAUGCUUUGAUGAUUCUCGUAACAUACUGAAUCGAUUCAGUUAUACAACAACAAUAAAGAUUCAAGAUGAAUGCAAAGAAGAAAAAUAUUUUUAUUUGUUCAACAAUUCUUUUUGUUUUCUGAAUUCAUGUUCUGUUUUUUGUUUUUUUUCUCCUUGUUCUUCAGAUUAUAUGUCAAUGGAAAAAGUUCAAAAUUUA